rnacentral:rRNA from 1 species
GGAAUAUUGCACAAUGGGCGCAAGCCUGAUGCAGCCAUGCCGCGUGUGUGAAGAAGGCCUUCGGGUUGUAAAGCACUUUCAGUAAGGAGGAAAGGUUGGAUGUUAAUAGCAUUCAGCUGUGACGUUACUUACAGAAGAAGCACCGGCUAACUCCGUGCCAGCAGCCGCGGUAAUACGGAGGGUGCGAGCGUUAAUCGGAAUUACUGGGCGUAAAGCGUACGCAGGCGGUUUGUUAAGCGAGAUGUGAAAGCCCCGGGCUCAACCUGGGAACUGCAUUUCGAACUGGCAAACUAGAGUGUGAUAGAGGGUGGUAGAAUUUCAGGUGUAGCGGUGAAAUGCGUAGAGAUCUGAAGGAAUACCGAUGGCGAAGGCAGCCACCUGGGUCAACACUGACGCUCAUGUACGAAAGCGUGGGGAGCAAACAGGAUUAGAAACCCGGGUAGUCC